GGAAUAAAGUAGAUUUUCUCCUCUGGAACACACUGCAGUUUAAUUUCACUUCUUUCUACAAUGUGCGAUGAAGGUGGACUUAACUUUUAAAGGCAAAGAGACAAACCACUGCCAGGAUAAAUGAAAAGACGCAGAGGGGCCAGCUGGCACCACACAGGCAAUGAAAUGCUUUCUGGCUGUUUCCUAAUUUUCAUAUCCGGGUCAUCUUCAGAAAUCAUUUUCAGAGGGUUAGCAACCAUGACCAUCAUGGUGGAGAACAUGGCAACAGGCAGACAGGAAUCACACUGGAAUAGUAGCUGGAGACUAUGUUGAUGUCUGUUGUCUAAACAGCCACUGGAGGCCAUGCUGAAGUCCAUAGGUCCAUGGUUCAGUGCCCCCUGUGGAUGUCCUUUGUCUGUGUGGCUGCUGACUGAAAUGGACAAAACAACUUCUAUCACAUUAAUAUCAAUGACUGCAGACUCACAGUUGAGAAUGAGAGACUUUGAACGCUUCUGAAACAAUCUGUCACAUCCAUCCCAUCUAAAAGAACCAUUCAAGGUCUAAGCUAGCCGAGUGGCUGGGAACCAACAAGCAGCCUCCCACUACAG